GCCAUGUGAGUCCAUCAGCAAAAACAACUACAGAACAUGGAGUAGAGUAGGGCUGGGCAGAAAUACCAGAAAACAAGGGGAAAAAUUCAGAGAUCAAACUGGGCACUACAUGCAUGACUGAUCUGUGUUGAUGACUGGUCCUUAAACAAAAAAACAGGAAAGUAAUAAUCUCGUGUGCCUUGAAGUGCAAUGACAGAGUACUCUGGAUAUGCAUCAUUUACUACUAUACAUAGGAAAGUUUGCUUCCAGGUACUGCUUGCUGCCUCCACAUAUCUGAUCAAAAACAACUGACACGAAAAAAACCCAAAGCUGUUUAACCAAAAAAGGAUGGUGGUAGUGGGAGAGAAAUCAGGUGGUUAUGAAAGUGCUACUGCUGUAGACUUGCAAGCAGUUGCUUGCUGGUGUUUGAAGUGAACAAGCUGUGACCCUGGUGCCUGCUGUUUGAAGAUGUAGCCUUGGGUAACCUGGGUGUUAAUCAGAACAUUGCAGUCUAUUUAUCAUUCUCACACUUACGCCACAUUAGCAUAAUAGUCCUGGUCAUUAGUUAUUUGUCCCAUAGGGACAAAAUCAGUCUGUCUGUUGCUAUAAGGACAGAUGUGCUUUCACGGCAUCCUUUAUUCAUCCAUCUGAUCAAGUAGCUCCUUUAUAAGAGCUGCAAGAAUGCAAUGGAUUUUAAGAUUUGAUGUAAUUAUACUGCAAGAGAAAACAACAUUUAAAAAAGAAAUAAUCCAGUUUCUAACCAUUUGGGUGGGCAAAUCACUAUUUAAAAUAUGUUCUAGCCUCAGUAGGAAAGACAGAGGAUAGCUGGGACUACACAGAAUGAAAUUUAGGCUAGAAGCAUCAACCUAAAACUGCUCGGCCAUAUCCAGGGAGGCUAGCCAAACCAUAGGCCCGUUCCUGCAACCACUUAUGCAGAUGAAUAACUUAAAGGGACUUCACAUGAGUAAAAUUACUUCCCCAAGUAUCUGCAGCAUCAAGCUUCCUAUUGCAAUCCAGAUUAGCUGGAACUGUGUUUGCACAGGUUCCUUAAUGUUUCUCCUGACCCAGUGAAGAUGCUUCCCACUCUGACUCUUCUCAGAAAAACACACACUCAUUUUCUAGCUAUCUUGACAUUUAAUUUAAAGGCACACCAUCAACUUAAAAAUUACUGUCUGUCUAAAAAUGUAACCUCUAUUAUUACAAGGGACUCCUAAAAAUUAAAGUAAGUGAAAGAUUAGAGACUGUUUUCUUUCGGUGUAUUUGCUUUGUGCAGUUGACAGCACUUGAUGUAUAUUUUGCUUCUCUGUAUAGUUCAUUUUGUCUGUUACACUAGUCUUUCUCCAUUAAAAAGUGUGGAUAAGGAAUCUAUUUUUGUGAAUAGCCAUUAAAUAUAUUUUGCAAUGCUGCCAGCUUUGGAAAAGAUGAGUCAGAAUUUUGUGGAGCUGCUUUCGGGUGUCUAACUGAAGGAAUGCUGGUGGUUGAAAGAAAA